AAGUCGUAACAAGGUCUCCGUUGGUGAACCAGCGGAGGGAUCAUUACCGAGUUUACAACUCCCAAACCCAAUGUGAACCAUACCAAACUGUUGCCUCGGCGGGGUCACGCCCCGGGUGCGUCGCAGCCCCGGAACCAGGCGCCCGCCGGAGGGACCAACCAAACUCUUUACUGUAGUCCCCUCGCGGACGUUAUUUCUUACAGCUCUGAGCAAAAAUUCAAAAUGAAUCAAAACUUUCAACAACGGAUCUCUUGGCUCUG
rnacentral:misc_RNA from 1 species